GCUUAACACAUGCAAGUCGAGGGGCAUCAGGAAGAAAGCUUGCUUUCUUUGCUGGCGACCGGCGCACGGGUGAGUAACACGUAUCCAACCUGCCCUUUACUCGGGGAUAGCCUUUCGAAAGAAAGAUUAAUACCCGAUAGCAUAAUGAUUCCGCAUGGUUUCAUUAUUAAAGGAUUCCGGUAAAGGAUGGGGAUGCGUUCCAUUAGGUUGUUGGUGAGGUAACGGCCCACCAAGCCUUCGAUGGAUAGGGGUUCUGAGAGGAAGGUCCCCCACAUUGGAACUGAGACACGGUCCAAACUCCUACGGGAGGCAGCAGUGAGGAAUAUUGGUCAAUGGGCGCUAGCCUGAACCAGCCAAGUAGCGUGAAGGAUGAAGGCUCUAUGGGUCGUAAACUUCUUUUAUAUAAGAAUAAAGUGCAGUAUGUAUACUGUUUUGUAUGUAUUAUAUGAAUAAGGAUCGGCUAACUCCGUGCCAGCAGCCGCGGUAAUACGGAGGAUCCGAGCGUUAUCCGGAUUUAUUGGGUUUAAAGGGAGCGUAGGUGGACUGGUAAGUCAGUUGUGAAAGUUUGCGGCUCAACCGUAAAAUUGCAGUUGAUACUGUCAGUCUUGAGUACAGUAGAGGUGGGCGGAAUUCGUGGUGUAGCGGUGAAAUGCUUAGAUAUCACGAAGAACUCCGAUUGCGAAGGCAGCUCACUGGACUGCAACUGACACUGAUGCUCGAAAGUGUGGGUAUCAAACAGGAUUAGAUACCCUGGUAGUCCACACAGUAAACGAUGAAUACUCGCUGUUUGCGAUAUACAGUAAGCGGCCAAGCGAAAGCAUUAAGUAUUCCACCUGGGGAGUACGCCGGCAACGGUGAAACUCAAAGGAAUUGACGGGGGCCCGCACAAGCGGAGGAACAUGUGGUUUAAUUCGAUGAUACGCGAGGAACCUUACCCGGGCUUAAAUUGCAGUGGAAUGAUGUGGAAACAUGUCAGUGAGCAAUCACCGCUGUGAAGGUGCUGCAUGGUUGUCGUCAGCUCGUGCCGUGAGGUGUCGGCUUAAGUGCCAUAACGAGCGCAACCCUUAUCUUUAGUUACUAACAGGUUAUGCUGAGGACUCUAGAGAGACUGCCGUCGUAAGAUGUGAGGAAGGUGGGGAUGACGUCAAAUCAGCACGGCCCUUACGUCCGGGGCUACACACGUGUUACAAUGGGGGGUACAGAAGGCAGCUAGCGGGUGACCGUAUGCUAAUCCCAAAAUCCUCUCUCAGUUCGGAUCGAAGUCUGCAACCCGACUUCGUGAAGCUGGAUUCGCUAGUAAUCGCGCAUCAGCCACGGCGCGGUGAAUACGUUCCCGGGCCUUGUACACACCGCCCGUCAAGCCAUGGGAGCCGGGGGUACCUGAAGUACGUAACCGCAAGGAUCGUCCUAGGGUAAAACUGGUGACUGGGGCUAAGU
rnacentral:rRNA from 1 species